GACGAACGCUGGCGGCGUGCUUAGCACAUGCAAGUCGAGCGGUAAGGCCCUUUCGGGGGUACACGAGCGGCGAACGGGUGAGUAACACGUGGGUGACCUGCCCUCAGCUCUGGGAUAAGCCUGGGAAACCGGGUCUAAUACUGGAUAUGACUCCAUGACGCAUGUUGUGGGGUGGAAAGCCUUGUGCGGCUGAGGAUGGGCCCGCGGCCUAUCAGCUUGUUGGUGGGGUGAUGGCCACCAAGGCGACGACGGGUAGCCGGCCUGAGAGGGCGACCGGCCACACUGGGACUGAGACACGGCCCAGACUCCUACGGGAGGCAGCAGUGGGGAAUCUUGCGCAAUGGGCGAAAGCCUGACGCAGCGACGCCGCGUGAGGGAUGACGGCCU
rnacentral:rRNA from 1 species